rnacentral:lncRNA from 1 species
CUGGCUUCAGUGGAGAUGCGGGCAAAGCAGAUGGCUACAUGGUCAGCCUGGUGGAGAAGCUGGAGGUGAGUCCUGCCGUGAGGGCUCAGGAGUCUGCACAGAAGAGCUGGGCACACGGGCAUGAUUUGAACAGGGUCUCCAAGGGAGAAUGUAAAGGGGAGAAUUGUUCUGAGCAGGGCAUCUGUAUGUGCAAAGGCACUGAGCCACCACCGCUGUGGGUGUGGCACAUCUAGAACAUCUGGAGGGGAGAUCCCGCCAGUGUGCAUGAGGAAGAAAGGAAGCGACUGAGUUACAAGGUGGUACCCAAGAGAGGCAGCCUUCCACUGUGUACUGUGGGAUGAAGACAUUCCCUGACAGCCAGUGAGUGUCCAUAAGUGUCUGCCUCAUGGACCAUGCAUCCUGGGCCCUGCCGGGCUAUCCCUCUCAGCCACCCACCUGGUACUGCCCUCCUUCUCUGCCUUCUUGACCAGGUCAUGCGAUAUUGAUAAUGAGGAAGAGAGAAGGGGGUGGUUUCUGGGAGCGACCUAUGAGAACUGAGCCUAGUGGGCAGUGGCCUGGGCCUGGGGAUAUGGCAACUUCCUGAGCAGACUUGGCUUGCCCAGAAAGGGAUGGACCUGACUCAGCUCCGUUCUCACAGCCUCACCCCAGACAGCGCUGUGCUGUCUGUCACCUUUUAUUACAAAACCUUCUGAAAUUCUCCAAAUCGUCUCGCCGGUUAUCGUGUUCAACCACAGUGUGCUUGCAGGAGCCUCGAGCUGGAACCACAAGGCAGCCACAGUGCGUCGGGGACUUCUGUUCUGUGCCCAGGAGGGCCCCCCUCCUUUCUCCUCCCCACUAGGCAAGUUUUGCCAUGCUUCCUUCUCCCUCCCCCCUCCUCCUCCUCUUCCCCUCCUCCUUGAGUCAGAUAGUGUAGGGAUGUAAGGCGAGUCCCUCUUGCUGGGGAUGGAUCUGCAGAAGAUCUGUGGGGGCUGUGAGGCUUGCAGGGGUGCUGGAGUUCUGAGAGGAGCAGAAAGCUAGGGGGAGGGGAGGAGGAGGAAGCCAUUGGUUGGUCUCAUGUGCUCAAAGCUUUGCAGCAGGCAGGUUCUGGACUCCGUGCCAGGGCCUCUCCCAGGACUGGAGGUGGGUAGGGUUGUUCUGAUUGCUCCACCCAUUCCUCCCUGUGCUUGUGGGGCUCUGUGUAGUAACUGCCCCCUGGGAACUUGUAUACAGCAAAAUGGAAAGCAGAGGCUGAUUUCUUUCUACUUAAUCUGUGUGGGGCCAGGGAGAAAACAAGGGGUUCAGCACGGAGUCUUUCUUCCCUUUGGGGUCUGGCUAGGGAAACAGAUGCACAUGUCAGGCAAGUUCAGGAGACCUUUUAAUAAGCUCUCUGCUCCCUUCCCAUUGGGAUCCCAUCUCACAGCCGCUGGGCUCCUAACUCCAGGUAGCAACCACUCUAUAGCCCCGUCUGGCUCCUUUCCCAAGGAAGAGCAGUAUCCCACCAUUGUCCAGGAGCAGGGCAGCGUCUGUGAACAGGUACCUUCCGUGGGAUCAGGUCUCACACUGUGUCCCAGACUGGUCUGAAACUAUCUAUGUGUAGCCCAGGCAGAAGUGGCAUACGCAGCAAUUCUCCUGUCUCAGUGUCCUGGCUGCUGAGCUUGCAGGCUGACAGUGAGUAGUCUGAGAGAAACGGAUACACUUAGCGGUCUGCCUGCUGACCACAUGGCUGAGCUCUGCAUAACAGCCUCGAGGGGCUUUGCAGUUGACAAAUGACUCUCAUGCAAUGUCAUAACUCUCCGGAGGAGGUAUUCGUCCCCCUAAUUUACAGCUAAGGAAACUGAGGUGGCUUGCUCACCACCAUAGGUAGGGACCAGUUAUCCACAGUUCACAGCUUCACACAGAGGAGAACUCGGCCCGGAAGCUCGUGGGCUGAGAGAAGGAAAAAAAAAAACAGCAAGAUGGUUGAGGGCUGGGAUUAUGGUAUCAAAACCUAGGCUGAGGACUUGGGAAACCAGUAAGUGGGUCCUGGCUCUACUGUCUCUUGUCCUCUGACCAAAGAGCAU